rnacentral:lncRNA from 1 species
GUAGACAGUGCUGCUCUCACCGAGCCGGUAACUGCACUAUCCGCCCGUUCCGUUUUUGGUCCAGUUCGAAGCGAGCGAUCGAGACGCGCACGUGUUUGUCGCGUUCGUCUGCCGGUCGUGUGUCCGCGUGUUUUCGCAGUUUGGUGUGUGACAGGCUGGUGUGUUCCGCUACCGUCGUACGAGAUCGAUUGGUGUGUGCUCGUGAUCGGAUUUUCGCGGUUUUUUUGUGAAAGUUGUGUUUUGGUUGUUUUUGAGUGUUUUUGGUUUUGUCUUGCCGCCCCUCUCGGCGAUAAGGAUACUUGGCCGGUUGUAUUUUCGCCCUUUUUUGAGGAUUAUUGGACUCGAGUCUGCGAGCGUUUCAGUACCUUACUUAAUCUAAGGAUUGUCGCCAUGGCAGGAUGCUGAAGUGGCUGAUCGCGCACAGCCUACGCAAGCUCCCUCGUGGAUGAGUGGUUUUUUAACUGUUCCAUUCGUUCCACAUGCUCAGUUUGCCAUUAACGUCAUUCGCAGACGGGAGCGGUGAUUUACGAAUGGGUGAGGCGGCGGGAUGCUGAAGUGGCUGGCCCGCCCAAGGACGCCUCCAGAUCUCGUCACAGAUGACCCAUUGGCCACAAUAGCUCCCGAUGCCCAGCCUCACGUUUACGCCGUCAGCAGGAUCAACCCUUUAUUCGUGGAGGAGGAUUCGGGGAACGAGGAGAGUCUAACGCCGCGACGUAAGCUGACCAGCUCGGGCUAUGGCAGCAAACUCUCCUCCUCUCGAACAGACCGAACGACCAGCGGGACGACAAGCAACCAGAGCCAGCAGAGCCGCGACAUUAGCCAGACCCGCGAUCUUAGCCAGACCCGUGACAUUAGCCAUAGCCGCGACAGUAGCCAAAGAAGCUCGCUGGAUCCGGAGCGAGAGCACGCUCCGAUCCAGGUGAUCGAGCAGAACCCGGCCUUCGUCAAGAGCAUCCAGGUCUCGUUCAAAGGCGUCUGCGCCAAGAAGCACUGCCCGCUGGCCCUCUCCACCAUCCCCGAGGGCAAGGUCGACUACUGCAUCCCCCGCCCUGUUUGGCCGAGAUAUGAGAAUCGACAACGCAAACCGCCCUCCGUGUAUGCUGACGAAAGCAUCUACUGGUACUCCAGUCUGUCGCAGAAGGCGCCGGACGCGCGAUAUGCGCUGGAGCCACGCAAAGGCGUCAUGUACGAACGCGAGCAGAAGUCCGCUUGCGAGAUCCUGCGGGACCUCUCGUCGACGAUCGACCAGGCCGCGGACCCGAAGCAGGCCGCCAACCCGGAGGAUGUCCUCCGCCACCUCAAGCGCACCAUCAACAAGUCCCUGGAGCUCCUCUCCUCGGAGACCGCCCUGCGGCGGCUCUCCGAGUCGAUGCGCGAGAGCGACACGGUGAUAACCAUGAACCGGGCCCUCAGCCGCUCCAGCUCCGUCAACGAGUGGUCCUUCUCCGAGACGGACCCGGGACGCCUGGAGCUCCUCCGUCGGCUCGGCAAGUUCGACGGCUCCCUCUACGACCCCGUGCGACAGUCGUCGAGCAGCUCCACGUCCUCCGGGUUCUCGGACCUGACCCUCUCGCCGCAGUCGUCGGCCUCCUCGGCGGAGUCCCAGUCGCCCGGGUCCCGGCCGAGGUACCCGGUCUUCGUCCAUGACAACGUCGCCCAAGUCCCCAACGGGCUCCGCAACGCCGUCCUCUACGGCUCCCUCUCGGGCGUCGAGUACGAGAAGCUCCGGCUCCCAGAUCUCCAGCCGCACAUCGACACCGGGCCCCAGCCCCACGAGAUCGAACCCGAAACCAAGACUGAAAAACUAGAUUAUGGUUACCGUGGUCCGGACUUCACGCUGGACGUGCACCAGGCGGAGAAGCUGAUGCUGCGGAUCGCGGCGGACAAGAAGCGACGAUGCUGGUGCCGGAUCAGCGUCUCCCUCCUGGGCCUCGCCUUCCUCCUCUUCUCGGUCAUGAGUUUCAGCAUGAUGCUCACACGGAAUUUCACGGUAGUAGAACCGUGGAUUUUGAUUCUUGUAACGAUGAGCACGGUGAUAUGA